rnacentral:rRNA from 1 species
GACGAACGCUGGCGGCGUGCCUAACACAUGCAAGUCGAGCGAGUGAAUCUCCUUCGGGAGUGAAGCUAGCGGCGGACGGGUGAGUAACACGUGGGCAACCUGCCUCAUAGAGGGGAAUAGCCUUCCGAAAGGAAGAUUAAUACCGCAUAAGAUUGUAGCUUCGCAUGAAGUAGCAAUUAAAGGAGCAAUCCGCUAUGAGAUGGGCCUAUGGCUUAUCAGCUAGUUGGUAGGGUAAAAGCCUACCAAGGCUAUGACGAGUAGCAGGCGUGAGAGCGUGACCUGCCUCACUGGGACUGAGAAACUGCCCAGACACCUACGGGUGGCUGCAGUCAAGAAUCUUCCACAAUGGGGGAAACCCUGAUGGAGCGACGCCGCGUGUAGGAUGAAGGCCUUCGGGUUGUAAACUACUUUUAUAUGGGACGAAUACGUGACGGUACCAUACGAAUAAGAGGUUGCUAACUCUGUGCCAGCCGCCGCGGUAA